GGCAGGUACCAAGUCCAGCACAGUCUCUGAAAGGAGUAUCGCUGACUACAAAGAAUUUGGGGAUAGUCUUCAGAAAGUUUGAAAAUGAGUUUAUUUUCUUUGUGUUGAAAACAGAAGUUCCACUUCAGGAAAGCAUAAAUUGAUGUUAUUUAAACUUUUUCACUACAUAUUGAAUUCUACCAUGCAAAAUAAUUUGAAUUUCUUCCAACUAACAUUUAGAACAACAAAAUCCAGCUGAAAUGACUAGAAAAUGUCUUCUCCUUGCAGAACUUGCUGUAUGACCUCAGUGCAGACUGGAAAGAUGAAUGGAACCUUGAUGGAGCUGUUGACAGAAUCUGCAAUAAUAAAGAGGAUUUCCUGCUUCAAGAAAACCCACAGAACUUUGGGCCCAAUGCUAAAAAUCUCCUAUGAGGACUCCCAUUGAAGUCAGUGAAACUCCUUAUAUGGGAAAGCAUCUGCAAGAUCAGCUACUAGGAACUGGAAGGAGUGUACAGUAGAUAGGUAAGUAUAAUACUGGGAAAAGGCAACAAGAUGAAGAGAAACCAGGCUGUUGUAAUGUGAACAUCUAGAUGUGCCACCUUCAGAAAACAAAUUAUUUUAUUUAUUAUUUUAUUCAUUUUUAUUUAGGUUGUGUAAAGACAUUCUUCAGUAAACUGGAUUUACUUGGCUGGACUGCAUAAUGUUUUGGCUCUACAAGUUGGAGUUAUUUUACUAUGAAAGAGUGACUCAAACUAGAACCCCAAAGGACAGUUGUUUGUGGAAAACCUUUCUAGAUUUUUAAUAUGCUGAAUGCUCUGGCCAUCACAUCCCUCAAAGCAGCUCUGUGAUGUGCUACACAUACAUGACUGGCAAGCCUUAUAUGGAGAAAUGCCUUAUGCGUAGAUGGGAAAAGGGAUAAUCUUUUAGCUAUACAACUCCUUCCUUAAGUGAACAACAUAAGUAAGUGAAGCUUGGAGCAAUUAUUCCCCAGUUGUAUUAGAUGUGACAUUUGUUCUUUUUCAAACUCCAAGAGGGAAUUUUGAGCUCAAAAGUGUUCAAAAAUAUCAGUAAAUCCGACAAAAUCUCUUAGCAACCUUGCUGCCUCUUGGAAGAGCAACCGCCAUCCUUAAGCAUAUCUUGGACUAUAGUUCAUCAUAAUAAUCACUGCAAACUGUUUAUACAGCUAGCCCUUUUUUGGCUCUUGAACAGUUGCUUUAUAAUACUACAUUUGACGUUUGUAAUUCUUGAGCUUGUGAGAUUUGCAAACGCAUUUGAUCUGGGAACUGCAUGUACACAAUUUGUGCUUGCUAUUCUUUAUUCAUUUUUCUGAGGUCUGUGAUUGAU
rnacentral:lncRNA from 1 species